rnacentral:lncRNA from 1 species
CUUUUUUGUGUGCUCUAUCUUCCUGAAGUCCCAUCUCCUCUGCAAUCCACUGCAUAAUCUUCUGUGGGACAAAGCUCCCCAACAUAAUGAAAGAGGUGGAAUCGGGAACGGAAAGUCAAUGGACACAGUUAUCAAUUUGGGCCCCACACCCCCUGACUCCUGGGAUUUGGCCCCAGCAGCCAAAGAGGCGCUAGUGGGGCCUGCUGUGUAGGGAAAAAAACGCACCACUGCAAAGUUUGCUGAGGCCAAAGGAAGAGCUGGUGGCUGCCGGACGAUGUAAUCCAACGCCCUCCUGAAGAGACCACCACAUAGAGGAAUGCAAGCAGCUCCCCCGCCAGCCUGCUGAGACCCGAGCCCUACGGUUUGUUAGGAUGCAGCUGAUGUUUAGAAACUCCACCAGUUCAUUCUGAAACGAAAGGCUUGGCGGCGGAGGGCAUCCCAGGAAGCAACAAAUAGAAUCCUAGACCUUGGUUUUGAUUUCCACACAAGUCUUGUGACUGUUUACACACCCCAGAAGAGAUUUUGAGAUUAAUUCUGGAAUACAAAUCUAUCUAAACCAAAUCAGAACUUCACUCACUUGUGGAAACUCAAGCUCCAGUUUUUAACUGUUUGGAGGGAAAUUGCUGUAGCGCUCCCUCCUGAGCAAGAGAAUUCUCAUUUUAGGCCUAUUAUUUGCAGAACAGGAUGACAUUUACCUGAAUUGGAAAGAUGAACGGGAGACAUAAUUUUACCUCUGGAGCCCAUUUGGGAGAAGAGAGAUAGGUUACAAAGACCAACAUUGCAAGUGGUGGAGAAAACACUGACUUGAGUGUUGCUCAAAUCUUCACUGAGGAAUUGUUCUCUGAGCUCAGCCUGGCCUUAGAAAAUAACAGAGUUCUUCAAAGUAACUAAGAGGGGGAGAAGGAAUUUUUGAGCUGAAGGAAGCAUCCUCAAAGACAACGCACAGCUGCUGCACUUCAAGGUCUAGAGGCUGAUCCCAACUCCCAGGCUGCCCCCACACCCCUGCUUAUUCUCUGAGAGCUGGGCUCAGCUUUCCUAUCAAGCCGCCCUUGCAGGUCAUCUUGUUGGAGAGAGUGGGGCUUCUUGGUGACUUUUCGAUAUUCUGAACACUCACAAUGUUUAGAUCAAAAUUCCACAGUGUGUGAUAAUCAUAAGAUUCGGGACUGAAAAAGCCUUUCUAGGACAACCCUAAAUGGGCCAGCUUAUCAGGAGACAAGAUAAGUGGUGGCCAAAACAGCGUGUCCUUAGAG